rnacentral:tRNA from 1 species
GCUGGCGUAGCUUAACUAAAGCAUGACUCUGAAGAUGUCAAGACGGACCCUAGAGUGGUUCCGCAAGCA